GACGAACGCUGGCGGCGUGCUUAACACAUGCAAGUCGAACGGAAAGGCCCUGCUUUUGUGGGGUGCUCGAGUGGCGAACGGGUGAGUAACACGUGAGUAACCUGCCCUUGACUUUGGGAUAACUUCAGGAAACUGGGGCUAAUACCGGAUAGGAGCUCCUGCUGCAUGGUGGGGGUUGGAAAGUUUCGGCGGUUGGGGAUGGACUCGCGGCGUAUCAGCUGGUUGGUGGGGUAGUGGCUUACCAAGGCUUUGACGGGUAGCCGGCCUGAGAGGGUGACCGGACGCACUGGAACUGGGACACGGUCCAGACUCCUACGGGAGGCAGCAGUAGGGAAUGUGCCGCAAUGGGCGAAAGCCGGACGGAGCAACGCCGCGUGAGUGAUGAAGGUCUUCGGAUCGGAAAACUCUGUUAUUAGGGAAGAACAAAUGUGUAAGUAACUAUGCACGUCUUGACGGUACCGAAUCAGAAAGCCACGGCUAACUACGUG
rnacentral:rRNA from 1 species